UUCUUUUUUGAAGUCACAUGACACCUGAUAUAACACUCAAAGAGCAGAGAGGAGCAGCCAAUUAUAUUUCCUAAUUGGUGACACAGACACUGAGGGCUGCUGUGGAAGACUUUCCUCAGCCCCUAUGGACUGUAGCUGUCAGAGCCAGUGAGAUGGCUUAGCAGAAGUUGUUCUUAGAUCCUCUGUCAGCACCAUGACUCCAUCCCUCCAUCAUGACAGCCCUACAGCCUAACAGAGCAAAGCCAGCUUCACAGAUGGGAAUGCAAUGUGGCUGUAGCUCAGUGGAAGAGUGUGUGCCUAGCGUUCACGAGGACCUGGAUUCGAUCUUCAGCACCUCCCUACCACAAAAGACUCACGCUCUGUGUGCAGCAUUAAUUUCAGGGGAAAUGAAUCAUAUUCCAACCCUUGU